AGUGAACGCUGGCGGCGUGCCUAAUACAUGCAAGUCGAACGAACGAAUAAGAGCUUUCUCUUAUAAGUUAUUGGCGCACGGGUGAGUAAUAUAUAUCUAAUCUGCCUCUUAGUAAAGGAGAACAGUCGGAAACGAUUGCGAAUACUCUAUACUUCUUCUUUACAUAAGUAAAGUAGAAAAAGUUUUUCGCUAAGAGAUGAGUCUAUACUGUAUCAGCUAGUUGUUAAGGUAACGGCUUACCAAGGCUAUGACGCAUAACUGGUCUGAGAGGAUGAUCAGUCACAUUGGAACUGAGACACGGUCAAAAAUCCUACGGGAGGCAGCAGUAGGGAAUAUUGCGCAAUGGGGGAAACCCUGAAGCAGCAACGCCGCGUGGAGGAUGACAAUUUUCGGAGCGUAAACUCCUUUUAUCGGGAAAGAAUAAUGACGGUACCCGAUGAAUAAGCAACGGCUAACUCCGUG
rnacentral:rRNA from 1 species